UUUCACUCUAGUAGAUCUAUGAUUGUCGUGAAAAAAAUUUGUUCAUUGGAAUAUCAUCAAAAGUGUGAUCUACGAAUUGCUCUUUUUGUUGACUUCUAGCAUAAUCUUCAACGACCGUGAUUUCCUUGAUUAAGGACAAGAUUAUUGGCUUCUUGUUUUAAAAAGAAUAACACCAAGUUUGGAUUUGGUAGCUGUAGAAACGGUGAGAAUUGUACCUAUGCUCAUGGGGUUGAAUAGAUAAGGCAGCCACCACCAAACUGGAAGGAGCUUUUCAGUCCUCAUGCUAAAGACUAAUUGCAGUUAGCCAAGAAUUGGAAUGAUGACGAAAAAAUCAUUCACAAUAUUAAGCUUUGCAAGAAGUAUUAAAAUGAUGAGGAGUGUCCUUAUUGUGAUAAGUGCAUCUUUCAUCAUGAGAGUCCUGCUAAAUUUAUGGAUGACUUUUGGAAAACAAGAGACUCUUAUGCAGUCAACAUUGAAAUUUAUUGGUGAUAAAGGAAGCUAUGGUUAAUCUAGUUAUAAUUUUGUUCCAAAAAAUUAUGAAUGCAACCUAUAAUAUUUUCUCUCUAAUGUGAUUCUUAUGUAUACAACAAAUACU